UUUAUUAUUGCCUCUAGAGCAUAUUUCCUUGACUUCGAGUUCUGUCUUUUGGUGUCUGGACACCAGGUAGGCCGCAAUCUGUUCCGUUCAAAUGGGCUUUUUGAUUUGGAAUCUGUCAGGCUAGUGACAGGCUAGCUAGGCAACAAAUAUGGGUCGGUAUACCCCCUAUUAGAAGCCUAAUAGAACAUGUUUAGCCCAUUUGCCUGCUCGUAUUCGUCCGCUUAACCUUGCCGUAUUGUCCUUCACCAGAUAUCUUGGCUCAUCCGCCUCUUUCUCUCUCCCCAAACGUAACGGUGGCGCCGUUACUCUCCAGCGAGAUGUGUUUCCUGAAUGUUGACGACCACAAUUACAUCUUUUUUCGAUCCACCCAUUGUGACCGCGCUUAGAUCUGCCUCAUAUUCAUUGAUUUUAGUUCGUUUACCUAAGCAGCCCUUCUUCUACAGGAUUGUGUUUUCCUACUGGACUUAAUAUUUUGAUUGUGUUUUUUUCUUUUUGCUGCUAAAUCCAUGUGCCUGUUUAGGUUGUUAUUUGUUCAGUUGGCAAAAGUUGUAGUUUCCCCAUCGUUGAUUCAAUUACUCCUAUUGUCCUCAUAUCGCAUAUUUACGAGAGGAUGUGUACUCACAACAAGGGCUUUAACAAAACUUUGGCAAGAGUAUUAAUUUCUAAUUUUUGGACCGGAUUGUGAUCACAGUUGCUACCGAAAACACUUAAAAUAAAAAUUGGCAUGGGUAUGAGGCCUUGAUUCUUACAACUAUAUUUUUGUGAUCGAGAUCAUCACGAUCUUAAUUUGUGCUCUGGAAAACAACCAUUAAGACGUUCUUACAAAGACUCGAAGUGGGGAUUGUGUUCAAAUUACGUCUUGACCGAAACAUGCCCUGCUUCAAGAUUUAGUUGUCCAACCGUAGGCCCCAUCCAUCGCAUGGGUAUACCUCAGUCAUUAAGAUAAAUCGGAUAAAAACAUUGGGUGUUUAAGAACUACACCUCAUCAAUCCCCAGCGAUUAGCUUCAUGCUACCAUACUAAACUUUUCUAUCAUUGAUGUUCAGAAUAGCAAUCCACUCCCUCUCUGCUCCUAACCUCCUCGUGGCUCGAACUCCGUUAUCCUAGAUACCUGCAGGGUCGAGGAAUGCGAGAGAGACAAGAGAUAACUACGAUGCAAUUUUAUUUCACACAUACAUGACGUUCAUUCAAAGUCAUUCCAUCAAGCCCACUUACAAACACAUCGGGUGGCAAGGCUAUGGCUCAACCCAUUGCCUUACCAAACUACGCACAUAUGAUGAUCGGAUCGCACGAAGAAACAAUUGAAGAACACAACAUGAUGCAAGCUUUAUUAAUAAUAUGUCUUACAGUGGUUGCCGGAUGCGAUACACGAUUACAAGAGGUGAAUUGCUGCGAUGGUGAAGAUGAUGGUGGCUAGCUAUGGAGAUGAGAUGGAAAAUGGCGGCAGCCAUGGUUUGUGAAUGGCUUAUGGUGCGGACAUGAGGUUCUGGUGUGCUCUCUUUUGUGAUUCUGGUACCGGCCCCUUUAUAAUAGUUGGAGCGUUGGACACCACGGUGUGGAUAGCGUGCGGUACGGGAUACCGUCUUGCGCUCUUUCAU
rnacentral:lncRNA from 1 species